rnacentral:tRNA from 1 species
CCGCGAUUGCGGGGCGGCCCGGCGCCUUUUUUGUGUCUGGCGUCGGCGCGGGUGCGGCGUCAGGCGUGUUCGACGAACGCGUAGCGGCC